rnacentral:misc_RNA from 1 species
CAGAUGUGUAUAAGAGACAGGUGAGUCAUCGAAUCUUUGAACGCACAUUGCGCCCCUUGGUAUUCCGAGGGGCAUGCCUGUUCGAGCGUCAUUACAACUCUCAAGCCUGGCUUGGUAUUGGGCUUCGCCACUCACCUGGCGGGCCUUAAAAUCAGUGGCGGUGCCGUCGAGGCCCUGAGCGCAGUAAAUAUCCUCGCUAUAGGGACUCGGCGGUCGCUGGCCAUAACCCCCAACUUUCUAAGUUUGACCUCGGAUCAGGUAGGGAUACCCGCUGAACUUAAGCAUAUCAAUAAGCGGAGG